rnacentral:lncRNA from 10 species
AUGCCCAAACACAGCACCAUUUUCACCAUUUUCUGAUAAUGCAGGAGUAGGAUGGCUAAAAGUGAAAGAAGAAUCUACUCUAUGGAAAGCAUGGCACCUGAAAUUUCUGAAGAUAUUGGCUGUCCUCUAGCUUAUAUGAGAGAGAGUGUUUGUGCUUUACUAAUCAACCAGUCAUUUUUUUCUUGUGUGGCUGAAAUGUACAUUCCAGACAUGAACAGGCCUGGUAAGGCAGAACGGAGAGCCGAGAAGGGCCUGAGGCCUCCCAGGAAGCUGGUUGGGGAGACCAGAAGGCUGCAAAGCUGGCCAACGCUUGCCAGGUGGCUGCGGAGAGUCAGCUUCAGUCUCUACAAGCCGCCCAUCCAGGCAGCUCCUGAACCAGAUCCAGGCAACUGGGCCAAGUCCCCAAGGCUGUCUCUGGGACCAGAAGGUAUAACCAAAGGGAAGCAUGGAUUUAAAUUCCAGGGCAUAAAAGAAAAGUUCAACGUAUCUAAGAAGGUGCUGAAAAUGACUUUUUUGUAAAUGUCUGAAGGACACUGUCUUAUACCAUACCAUAUACAAUAAAAUUUUAAAUGAGCCUGA